AACUUGCUGSGGGUGGAUGAGUGGSGAACGGGUGAGUAACACGUGAGUAACCUGCCCCGAACUCUGGGAUAAGCGCUGGAAACGGCGUCUAAUACUGGAUAUGUCCUAUCACCGCAUGGUGUGUAGGUGGAAAGAAUUUCGGUUCGGGAUGGACUCGCGGCCUAUCAGCUAGAUGGUGAGGUAAUGGCUCACCAUGGCGACGACGGGUAGCCGGCCUGAGAGGGUGACCGGCCACACUGGGACUGAGACACGGCCCAGACUCCUACGGGAGGCAGCAGUGGGGAAUAUUGCACAAUGGGCGCAAGCCUGAUGCAGCAACGCCGCGUGAGGGAUGACGGCCUUCGGGUUGUAAACCUCUUUUAGUAGGGAAGAAGCGAAAGUGACGGUACCUGCAGAAAAAGCACCGGCUAACUACGUGCCAGCAGCCGCGGUAAUACGUAGGGUGCAAGCGUUGUCCGGAAUUAUUGGGCGUAAAGAGCUCGUAGGCGGCUUGUCGCGUCUGCUGUGAAAACCAGAGGCUCAACCUCUGGCCUGCAGUGGGUACGGGCAAGCUAGAGUGCGGUAGGGGAGAUUGGAAUUCCUGGUGUAGCGGUGGAAUGCGCAUAUAUCAUGAGGAACACCGAUGGCAAAAGCAGAUCUCUGGGCCGUAACUGACGCUGACGAGCGAAAGCAUGGGGAGCGAACAGGAUUAGAUACCCUGGUAGUCCAUGCCGUAAACAUUGGGAACUAGAUGUAGGGCCUGUUCCACAGGGUUCUGUGUCRUAGCUAACGCAUUAAGUUCCCCGCCUGGGGAGUACGGCCGCAAGGCUAAAACUCAAAGGAAUUGACGGGGGUC
rnacentral:rRNA from 1 species